GGGGAUAUGGCGCAGUGGUAGCGCGCUUGCUUUGCAUGCAAUAGGUCGGGGGUUCAAGUCCCUCUAUCUCCA
rfam:Stachybotrys chartarum IBT 40288 unplaced genomic scaffold scaffold1022, whole genome shotgun sequence.